UUUCCAUAAAAAUUACAAAUAUUAUAAUAAACAAAGCAAAACGUUCAACUUACUGAUAAUGAUUUGUUGUUGAAAAGCAAUAGAAACAACUAAUAACAAUAAUGCAAACAAUAACGAUACUAUUUAAUUGUAAUCAAAAAUCAUCAAAUGGUUUGAUAUCGGUAUUUCAUUGUUUAAGGUCGUUUCAAGAUCACAAUGUCAUCAAAGUCGUGUUGAUGUCCAUUAUAACAUGUAAUUAUAAGCAAUAUACUGAAAGCAAAAAAGUGUUUAUGGUCUUAGAAUAACCUUCAAUAUGAGUUUGAGGCACUUUAAUUUAUCGUGAUCGUGUCUUAAACUUGUGUCAGUCCUUCAUAGCCCUUUUUCCUUAUUUUCAAUAACAAAUAAUACAGUUGUUUAAUUCAAGUCAGAAAUCCUACGCAACACACAUUUAUAUAUAUGAAAAAUUGCCGCCAAUGCCAUAAAAAUCAAUAGUGGAAUGCUUAGAGGGUAUCGUUAACGAGCGUGUAUCGAUUUUAAGUUAGUUCAAAACGAGGAUUAUCUAUGAUGACAAGUUGCAAAUUAUAGUGGGACAGUUUAACGCGGAUGCUGCGUAUUAUCUUGUUCGCCACUUCAGCGUAUCAUCGUCAUUAAUGUAUAGCACGCCAUGCUCGAUACUUUAACGUGAGUGUAUUAGUUCGCUAGCACUGAGAAAAUUUUUACUGAAGUUUAUAAAAAAACCAACACACAGAAAGACAAAAAGAGGGAGAAGAGGGAGAAGAAGAAGAAGAAAAACACAGCAGUGCAAACAUACUUGACGUAUUUUCCAUGUGGACUCGCACUGAUCAAAAGGAAAUAUUGAACCAGCUUACCUGCAGCUUUAUUGGACGAUGGCUUCGACUUCUCCAAGUCAAAAGACGGCUGGUUAGUUCUCCUGCUCGUAUGCCUUCAGUAGAAUCUAAAUUUUGAUAAAACCGUGGUCGAAACCGGAAAUUUCUGUAAAACAAAUAUAAAGAAAAUAGGAUAAUAUUGUAAUAUCAGGUUUAUGUUGUAAUAUUGGAAUAUUAAGUUAUGUAAUAUAAGAUUAAUUAAAUAUACAAAUAUCGAAUGUAAACACUAAACAAUAAAACUCAAACAAAAUUUCAUUUA